rnacentral:lncRNA from 1 species
CACGAACAGGGAUGUAAACAAAUUUGUGCACAUCAUUUGAGGUAAAUAACCUUUCAAGGAUCUUUAAUUUCAGCUCAUGAAACAUGGGACCAACACUUUACAUGUUGCAUUUAGAUUUCUUUCAGUAUAGAUAACCACCGACUGUAGUUACGUGUACAAUGCACAUUACCUUCCUUACAAGUAAAAAACGAGCAUAUAAUAGCAUAAUGAAUGUUGUGACCUCUUAAUUGAAAAUGUUUCUUUAUAAACAUCACAUGCCACAGAUUUAGGACCUGAAUGUAGAAAUCUUGGUCUGCUGGCCAGUGCCCAAAAUCCUUAUGUUAUAUCCCUGCAUGUCAGUACCUUUCAGACAAUCCCCCUAUCACUGUUGGUCCUCCUCAGUGACCUUAUGGCUGAAGGUUUUAACUUUCCUCUUGAGAAUUAGAAUCAGAAGUAGUUGUAUAGCUCAUUACAAUACUUCACCUCUUCUGGCAAAUAGUAACCUAGACUGUCCUGAUCAUCUAGUUGAGCAUUCCAGAUAAUUCCUUCAUCUCAGCAGAAAUGUCCCAUCCACAUAUUAGGAUUUUAGAUGUGCAGAUAGACCAAAGCCCAGUCUAUUUUACUGUUACUAUAGUCAAGUCUGUGGGUUAUGGUAUUUUAAUGUAGAUGUUAUCAUUUCAGUAAUCAAUUUAGCUAGCUGGUAAAAGUAACUUUUGCUGUCUUUCAGAUGGAUGGACCGGAAACCCAGUGACAACACUUGGGUCUGUAGCUGCCAUUUUCCGAUGGGAAAGAGAAAAGGCUCUGUAUUUACCAGAAAAGGUAGCUCAUCCACCAUGGCAGAAGAUGAAGAUCCAGACUGUUGAUUGGGGAACAAGAACAAACAAUAAGGCAUGAGGAUUGGGUGUUGAGUAUGAGAAACAAUUUGUUUUCUGUCCAGAUAAAGAUGGUGAUACAGCAUUGCAAAAUACCUACCACUGACCAUGUCUCUUUGUUUUCCAGUGCAACAGGAGUGCAUCCGUCAGUCCAUCCAGUGCAUGGACAUCCCGCGCCAGUGUCAUCCGGUUGUGGAGACUACAGCAGAACAAGCCUGUAGACCGACAGACAUGAGACGUGACAUGCGGAACAUCAGGCUCGCCCCACGAGAAGCAGUGCAUGAUCAACGCCACCCUCAGCAAGGAGAUCUGCUGGAAGUUAUGUACUCUCUCACUCUGGGGGGCGCAGCUGUGUGGAGAUAUGAAGAGAGAGGCUAGCUUGAGCAGCAGCGACGAUUCUAUCAGCAGAAAGGAGUAACAAAACUGGCAUUAUCACUUGUUUGUACGCUAUGCUCCCACCAUGAUCUCACACCCCUGCUAAAAUGCCACAUAGACAAAAGUGGUUGUAUUUUCCUAUAAAAGCUGAGAACCAACUGUUGUUUGUUGGGCUCUUGACUGUUGCACCUGCUCCAUU